CAACCUUCAAUUGAAACUAAAAUUCUCCAUUCCACAGGCUCCUAUCAUAUUCCAAUUUACCAUUACUUUAGAAUAAAGGAAAUUUAAAGAGAAAGAGAUAAACCUGAAUGUGAAAAGAAAACUUUCAAUUAAUUCUAUUUUUGGAAGUAAAUACACUUUGAGGCAGCAGCCGAAGCUUGAAAAAAAGAAAGGAAAUACCAAACAAAUUACAACAACACGAACUGAGAGAGAUUCUAGACCUCGAUAGCGACGAACUCGAACACUUUCAAGCUCGAUUGAAUCCAUGCAUACUCAUUUUCGGUACUCAAUAUAGAACCAAGAACCAAGAACUUUGUGGUCUCACAUCAACUCGUAAGAAUAUAGAGAAGCCAAAUGCUAAAUCUUUGUCGCUGCCAUUAAAUUAUUUACCCAAGGCUAUGCAUGAGCUAGAGGAUGUAUAUUGGAGAAGCGAUAUGGAAGCCUUUGUUGGAGCCUUGACGGACUGCCUUGUGAAUCACUGAAGGGGUUAGGGUUCGAAGGUUGGAGGAUUGAAGAUGAUCGAAGAGGGAACGGAGAGGGUCCCUUGUGUGUUUGGUGAGAUGCUAGGUUUCAGGCGUGAUUUCAAAAGGGUCAAAAAAAGAGAGAGAUCAGACGUUCCAAAAUCUGAUGGGGUGUCUUCUUUUUGUGUUAAGCGGCUAGGGACGCCUAUUAGGGAUCUAGGGUUCAUUUAGAAUAAGCAGGGUUGGGAUUAUUGGGUGUUGGGUUGGGUCGACCCAGUUUGGGUUAGGUUGGGUGAAAAUUUGGGCUUCUAAAAUGUUUGGCCAAUUAAUUUAAAAUUAGCCUUUUUUAAUUUCCUU
rnacentral:lncRNA from 1 species